CCACCAUUUUGUACUGAUCACACCAUUUGCUGAACAAUGUCCUCUCGUUGGUCUAAGAGACGACAUUUGAGAAAAAUAGUACAAGCAACAGAGUCUGACAUUCUGCUAAAGUUUCAGGAGACUAUCAAACAGAAUCAAGAUGUUGAACACUGUGUUGUUGGUGAUUCUUCUGGUUUGGAUGCUGAUGAAUCAGCUGGAUCAGUUUCUAAUGAAUUUGCCGGGCCCGUUUCUCAUGAGUUUGCCAGGCCCGUUUCAGACGAGUUUGCCGGGCCCGUUUCAGAUGAGUUUGCCGGGCCCGUUUCAGACGAGUUUGCCGGGCCCGUUUCUGAUGAGUUUGCCGGGCCUUUCUCAGAAAUACCAGAAUCCCAGGAAGUAUUUACAAAUUUACAUACAUUUCCAGAUGAGAGUCCUCAAAUAUCUAAUGAGUCAGAUGACUGUGAUGGCACUGAUACUCCGGAUACACAUGAUUUUCUAAUACGGAGUUUGAGAUAUUGGGCCACAACUUACUCAGUGUCACUUGUUGCAUUAACAGCACUUUUGAGUAUACUGAGGGUUUUUCAUCCCCAACUUCCCAAAGAUGCAAGAACGGUGCUUAGGACUCAGGUUGAUGUUCCUACCACCAAAAUGGAGGGAGGGGAAUACUUCCACUUUGGCUUGGCAAAGGGACUGCUUUCCCGUUUAAAAUGUUUGACCUUGCCAACAGAUCUCUAUACAUUAAAGCUUCAGUUCAAUAUUGAUGGGCUUCCUCUUUUUAAAAGCUCCAAAGUUCAAUUUUGGCCUAUUCUUGCUUUAGUGAAUUGUGAUUACACUAGGUCCCCAUUCAUUGUUGGUCUGUUUUGUGGGAUCAGCAAGCCAAAAAGCGUGUUUGAGUAUUUGAGCACUUUUGUUAAAGAUUUGACACAUUUGCUGAGUAAUGGCAUCGUUUACGGUAGUAGAACGUUUGAAGUUAUUGUUUCUUCAUUUGUGUGUGAUGCACCUGCGCGAGCCUUUGUGAAACAAACUAAGGCUCACAAUGGCUAUUCUGGGUGCGACAAAUGCUGCCAAGUAGGGGAGUGGAAAAACAAGAUGACAUACCCUGAAACAAAUGUCAAACCACGAACUGAUGCUGAGUUUGAUGCAAUGAUUGAUGAUGAACAUCACUUGGGACAGAUGGCUUCUCCUUUGAGUGGCAUAGUAAAAAUGGUCUCAAUGUUCCCAAUAGACUAUAUGCAUGUUUGCUGUUUAGGUGUGACUAGGAAGCUACUGAAUUUGUGGACAAGAGGACGUUCGCUGGCCACUCGUUUAUCCAGUCAAACCAUAAGUGAAAUUUCCUCAAAACUGAUGAUGCUCCGUGCUCACACACCGGUUGAGUUUAAUCGUAAGCCCAGGCCACUGACAGAAAAGGAUCGCUGGAAAGCCUCGGAGCUACGCUCAUUUAUGUUGUAUACAGGGCCCAUUGUACUCAGGGACAGCAUUCCAAUUGAGCUGUAUGAUAAUUUCAUGUUGUUUUCUGUUGGCAUGUGUUUGCUUCUUACUCCUGGCAUCUCUGAUGGCAUGCUUGACUUGGCUUGUAAAAUACUUGUUGCAUUUGUAAGGCAUUUUGGCGAGCUAUAUGGCACCAAUGAAAUUGUAUUCAAUAUACACCAAGUAAUACACCUUGCUGAUGAGUAUAAGCUUUUUGGGCCUCUAGAUAAUGUAUCUGGUUUCCCUUUUGAGAAUUAUUUAGGCCAAAUUAAGCGUCUUUUGCGUAAGCCACAUUUACCAUUGCAGCAGGUAGUGAGAAGAAUAUCUGAAAUCCCAUGUUUGCAGAUGCCAGUGCCAUUUAAAGACUGCUUUUUACAUGGCCUACAUUUUGAUGGUCCAUUACCUCCUCCGUUCAGCUUAGCUGAACAAUAUAGAAAAGUUACCACCUAUAGAUAUGCAUUAUCCACAGAUGAAGGAGAUAACUGCAUACAAAUUGGAAAUGAAAUUGCUGUUGUUAAGAAUAUAGUUAAGGUUGAAGAAGAAAAAAUAUAUGUAAUAUAUCAAAUCUUCAGACAUAAAGAAUCAUACUUUUCAUAUCCAUGCUUGUCUUCAUUCAUAGGGUGUUACAAGGUCUGGCAGUUGAAAGACAAUCUUUGUGCAAGCAGAUUGGUGCACAUUCAAAAUAAAUGUGUCCUCUACCCUGAUAAAAAUGGCUUCAUUGCCAUGCCUAUGCUUCAUAUGAAGUAUACAAAUGGAGAACAAGAAGCCGCAAUGGUGCAUUGUUCAGUUCAAAAAUGGUGGCACUGAAAUAGUCCCCCAAAAUUGGCUGCAUGGUGACAAAUUGUCAUGGCCACCAUUUACUAGCAAAGAUCGGUCAAAAAUUCAUGCAGCAGUAAAAAAUUACCUCCAGCCAGGUGAUGGAUGGAUUUUUUAUGAGCCAGUAAGACGUUUAAUAAGUCGAGAUACUUAUGAAGAAGCCCAAAGAAGCUUGCAAAAAUACUUAAAAGACAACUGUGACACAACGGAUAUGCAGUCGGACGAAGAGUGUGAUGGUCGACCUAGACGAAAGUUUAAACCAAACCCCUUGUAUAGUCAGACUCAGGAUGUUGACUCGGAAGAGGAAGGCACUGAGGUUAAAAAGAAAAAAUUUGCACAGGCUCCGAGGAUUGUGAUGCCAGAAGGAUCAGGAAUUGUUGGUGCAGCCACCUCCAGCAGUGGAAUUGGAAAGUCCUCAAAAAAGGCUCAGGGACUCUCUGCUGUUGGUGCCCAUUGUGGCCCGCUUCAUUCUGAUAUCAAAGCUGCCCUCAGCCUGGAGACAGAUGCACAUCACCAUGAGCCAACUCUUCAUCAACUUUUACCUGCUGUAAAAGAGCCAGGCAGUGCCAUCUCCAGUAAUGCAACCCAGAAGACAACUUGGAAUGACAGAAGGGCCUAUGAGCAAGUUGAUUACAGGCCCUUCAAUAAGAUGCAUCCAACUGGAAGAAAUGAAGCACCUUCACACAGCAUGGGAGAAUACAAUAUGUACAAUGAUUCACUCUAUGAAAGUCAGUGUGCCUGUGAUGGCCCAUCAGAGGGACAUUUUCAACCUUCCCUCACACAUGGUCAGAGAAUGCAGUCGGAUUCCAGACAAAUAAUUAAAGACAUAGCAUAUUCUAAACUGACCGAGACGCUGGCGGAACUAGUGUCCGAAGUAAAAGACCUACGUCUAGAGGUCCAGGGUUUCAUGAGAAGGCAGCUACCAAUCACUCCUGCGUUACCUCUAUCACUCCCAUUGAAAAGCAUGCCAGAGUUUGAAGAGGCUGAGCGGAUUCUUCAGAGUGAAGAUGCCAGACGUGUUAUGUUGAGGCCCGUAUCAGAAGAAUGCUGGCCUGUACGUUAUCCAAUGAGCUUGCCUCUCAGAUGAACUGGGCUGGGAAAAAAGUAAAAGAUGAGCAGAAACAAAAAACUGCUUUUAAAGACACCAGACUCAAGAUGUGCAUGUUUGAUGCGCUACAACAGCAAAUGAGGGCAGAAAAAAACGAGGCCUCUGAGUACACCUUUACUGUGACCGUCCAAAAAUGGCUCCGCUAUGCCCCUGAACGGCUUGGGGGCAUUGCUCGAAAUGAAAACCCCUGAUUUCACUUGUUUGUGUUUACUGAAACAAAGAACUGUGGUUGCAGUCUGUACUAGUAUGUUUUUUUUCUUUACCAUGUUGGUAAGUUCUAUAUGUUUACAUUUUGUUGUGGUUUAUGGCAAACUAGAUACAUACAGUAUGAAUCUAAGAAUCUAUUUUGGUCACAGGAUAUACAUAAAUAUGUGUAAUUUCAAGGUUGUUGUAUUUGGAGUGUGUGACUUUUUAGUUAAAAUAUGUUAUGUCAGGCAUGCAUUGUCAUUUCUGUAUAAAUUUGAUAUUUACAACA